AAACUUAGGCUAACACAGACCAAAGGCCUU
rnacentral:tRNA from 1 species